rnacentral:rRNA from 1 species
CCUACGGGUGGCAGCAGUAGGGAAUCUUUCACAAUGGGCGAAAGCCUGAUGGCGCAACGCCGCGUGCAGGAUGAAGGCCUUCGGGUUGUAAACUGCUUUUAUAAGCGAGAAAUAUGAUGGUAACUUAUGAAUAAGGAUCGGCUAACUACGUGCCAGCAGCCGAGGUCAUACGUAGGAUCCGAGCAUUAUCCGGAGUGACUGGGUGUAAAGAGUUGCGUAGGUGGCAUAAUAAGUAGCUAGUGAAAUCUGGUGGCUCAACCAUUCAGACUAUUAGCUAAACUGUUAAGCUCGAGACCGUUAGGGGUAACUGGAAUUUCUAGUGUAGGAGUGAAAUCCGUAGAUAUUAGAAGGAACACCAAUAGCGUAGGCAGGUUGCUGGGACGGUUCUGACACUAAGGCACGAAAGCGUAGGGAGCAAACGGGAUUAGAUACCCCAGUAGUC